UUUUGUGAACAUUAGUGUCCAGGGGGAUGUUCCACUGCUCAGCUUCCUCACGUGAUUGUUGAUGGCCUCAGGUUCUCACCGACUGUUGGCUGGAAACAUCUGGUCCUUGUCACGUGGAUGUCUCCCCUCCAUAAGGCAGCUGAAAACAGGGCGAGAAAACCAGUGAGAAAGCAAGAAAGGGAGAGUGAAGACGGAAGUCACAAGGUUCUAAGUUAAAAAAAAAAUCCAACUGAGGUCAUUUAAACCUGAC